UGGGGAAUUUUGCGCGAUGGGGGAAACCCUGAUCCAGCAAUGCCGCGUGUGUGAAGAAGGCCUUCGGGUUGUAAAGCACUUUUGUCAGGAACGAAACGGUCUUGGUUAAUACCUGGGGCUAAUGACGGUACCUGAAGAAUAAGCACCGGCUAACUACGUGCCAGCAGCCGCGGUAAUACGUAGGGUGCAAGCGUUAAUCGGAAUUACUGGGCGUAAAGCGUGCGCAGGCGGUUUUGUAAGACAGAUGUGAAAUGCCCGGGCUUAACCUGGGAACUGCAUUUGUGACUGCAAGGCUAGAAUCUGGCAGAGGGGGGUAGAAUUCCACGUGUAGCAGUGAAAUGCGUAGAUAUGUGGAGGAAUACCGAUGGCGAAGGCAGCCCCCUGGGCCAAGAUUGACGCUCAUGCACGAAAGCGUGGGGAGCAAACAGGAUUAGAUACCCUGGUAGUCCACGCCCUAAACGAUGUCUACUAGUUGUCGGGUCUUAAUUGACUUGGUAACGCAGCUAACGCGUGAAGUAGACCGCCUGGGGAGUACGGUCGCAAGAUUA
rnacentral:rRNA from 1 species